rnacentral:rRNA from 1 species
ACGAACGCUAGCGGGGAGCUUCAAACAUGCAAGUCGCACGCGAAAGUGGGGCAACUCACGAGUAGAGUGGCGCACGGGUGCGUAACACGUAACUAACGUACCCCAUCGCUGGGGAUAACUCCGGGAAACCGGAGCUAAUACCGAAUAAUCUGACGGGGUCUGUGGGCUCUGUCGGUAAAGCCGUAAGGCGCGGUGGGACCGGGUUGCGGCCGAUUAGCUAGUUGGUAGGGUAAUGGCCUACCAAGGCAACGAUCGGUAGCUGGUCUGAGAGGAUGAUCAGCCACACUGGAACUGGAACACGGUCCAGACUCCCACGGGAGGCAGCAGUUGGGAAUAUUGGACAAUGGGGGAAACCCUGAUCCAGCUACCCCGCGUGAGUGAUGAAGGCCUUCGGGUCGUAAAGCUCUUUUAGAAGGGACGAAGGGAAACUUGACGGUACCUUCAGAAAAAGCACCGGCUAACUCUGU